GUGGUGUUGUUUAUGACAAUGGCACACCGGAAACCGGCGCCAUCUUAGAGUUGGCUUCCUACAAAAACCUGCUCACUGGAUACUUACUAAGAUUACCAUCUUUGGUUGUCUCAACCUUGUGAAGAGGGUGACAUGUCAACCAACUCUGUUUCCCAGAGUCUUGGUAAUGUCUGCAUUAAACAUUAUGAAUGAGCCGGUGGAACGUGCAUUGUCUCUUUUUGCUAUUAAGAAAAUAUUUGCUGGCAGCUUCCAAACUGGCAGCCAGGAGAAGUGGCUGUAAAAUCACCACAGUGAAAAGGCAAAAGAGAAAAUCUAAAUUUGACAGCAACCAAACAACAGAAAAUAAAAGCAACAUCAAGAUGAGCGUUUCAACUGCUAAGUUCCAUAGACCAGAUAAUAAUUUUAAAUAAUAGUUACAUUGCUAAUUGUUGAAAUAAUAUGUAAUAGUCUUUUUU
rnacentral:lncRNA from 1 species